rnacentral:lncRNA from 1 species
AAUGCUUGAGCUCGUGUAAAUUCUUCCGCACUCUACCACCCUCUCUCUCUCUCUCUCUCCGAACCUCUUCUGCCCUCUCACCUCUUUUAAUGUCUAGAUUUUGGUCGGAUUUUCGGCCGAAGUCCUGCUAAUAGGUUUGAUUUGUUUUUGUUAUUUAUAUACAUAGUUAAGUUCUUUUCUAUUUUUUUUUACAAUCAUCUAGAUUUUUAUUUCUUUCUUGCUGCUUUCUUUCUCUACUCAAAACAUUUCCUUCUUCUAUUUUUUUCCAGGAAUCCCGCCUUCACGUCUAUCCUUCAAAGCUUGGUGGAUCCAAAAGAAAAAAAAUGUUCCAAUGUAGUUUGAUGUCAAGGGCCAGUUUGAGAUCGGGAUCUGGAUGACUAUUUUUCUCUUUGGCAUUUCUUUUCUUUUUUUUCUUCAUUAUGGU